rnacentral:rRNA from 1 species
AAUGGGGGGAACCCUGAUCCAGCCAUGCCGCGUGUGUGAAGAAGGCCUUUUGGUUGUAAAGCACUUUAAGCGAGGAGGAGGCUACUCUAGUUAAUACCUAGGGAUAGUGGACGUUACUCGCAGAAUAAGCACCGGCUAACUCUGUGCCAGCAGCCGCGGUAAUACAGAGGGUGCGAGCGUUAAUCGGAUUUACUGGGCGUAAAGCGUGCGUAGGCGGCUUUUUAAGUCGGAUGUGAAAUCCCUGAGCUUAACUUAGGAAUUGCAUUCGAUACUGGGAAGCUAGAGUAUGGGAGAGGAUGGUAGAAUUCCAGGUGUAGCGGUGAAAUGCGUAGAGAUCUGGAGGAAUACCGAUGGCGAAGGCAGCCAUCUGGCCUAAUACUGACGCUGAGGUACGAAAGCAUGGGGAGCAAA